GUACACCAAAAUGCACAGGUUGUGAACUCGAAGAGUAGGGCGGGACACGUGGUAUCCUGUCUGAAUAUGGGGGGACCAUCCUCCAAGGCUAAAUACUCCUGACUGACCGAUAGUGAACCAGUACCGUGAGGGAAAGGCGAAAAGAACCCCGGCGAGGGGAGUGAAAAAGAACCUGAAACCGUGUACGUACAAGCAGUGGGAGCACCUUCGGGUGUGACUGCGUACCUUUUGUAUAAUGGGUCAGCGACUUAUAUUCUGUAGCAAGGUUAACCGUAUAGGGGAGCCGCAGGGAAACCGAGUCUUAACUGGGCGUUAAGUUGCAGGGUAUAGACCCGAAACCCGGUGAUCUAGCCAUGGGCAGGUUGAAGGUUGGGUAACACUAACUGGAGGACCGAACCGACUAAUGUUGAAAAAUUAGCGGAUGACUUGUGGCUGGGGGUGAAAGGCCAAUCAAACCGGGAGAUAGCUGGUUCUCCCCGAAAGCUAUUUAGGUAGCGCCUCGUGAAUUCAUCUUCGGGGGUAGAGCACUGUUUCGGCUAGGGGGUCAUCCCGACUUACCAACCCGAUGCAAACUACGAAUACCGAAGAAUGUUAUCACGGGAGACACACGGCGGGUGCUAACGUCCGUCGUGAAGAGGGAAACAACCCAGACCGCCAGCUAAGGUCCCAAAGUCAUGGUUAAGUGGGAAACGAUGUGGGAAGGCACAGACAGCCAGGAUGUUGGCUUAGAAGCAGCCAUCAUUUAAAGAAAGCGUAAUAGCUCACUGGUCGAGUCGGCCUGCGCGGAAGAUGUAACGGGGCUAAACCAUGCACCGAAGCUGCGGCAGCGACACUAUGUGUUGUUGGGUAGGGGAGCG
rnacentral:rRNA from 1 species